GUGUUCAUGUUGGUAGCACAUUUACUGAAAUUGGAAUGAUACAGAGUAGAUCAGCAUGGUCCCUGCAGAAACAUGACAUGCAAAUUCAUGAAGCAUUCUGUAUUUUU